AUUACAUACACAUACACAUAUUUCAAUGGCAAUCGAAACGCUCACGAGCAUCAUCACGGUGUCCUUGUUUAGAAUUCGGUGAACGACAAGGAUGAAAUGAUCCUACGAACGAUGCGAAUGUCGAGUGGAACGUGUCUUAGUCACAAGUAAACACCGGCACGGCGUCACCGUUACAUUGCUUUUUCAAGAUCAAAUCGCGCGUGUAAAUAUACAUUAAAAGCAGGCGAAUAAGUAUCGCGCGUUAUAUUUCAGAUCGCGUGUGAAAUACUUUGAUAUUUAAUUAUACAACCAGAGUGAUGGUUGGGCAACGAUUGUCUGGGUUCGUUUUCGAUAACGUAUUCGCGAUUCGUCGUGAAGAUAUCGCUUUGUCUUAAAAAUUUAUCGUUAGAAUCCUUAAAAAUGGUAUCGCGUAAAAUUUGAAUAAAUAUCGGGAGUGAUUUUCGUGAUCGUAUUCGUAUUCGUGUGAAUAAAUCAACUCGAAAUGCAUCCAAAAUUGCACAAAAGAGGUUAUAAGGAAUCAAUAAUGGCUGGAAUUAAUUGGACAGUUGGAUAGUUGGAUGUUUGGAUAAUUGGACAGUGGCAGUUGAAGCAGGAUAUCGGAGGAAUAAUAUCGACAAUGAGGAGAAUGGUCGUUAUGUUGGCGGCAAUCUCCUCGGCAGGUAAGUAAGUAGGAAGUAAGACGAUCGUCCAACCUUCUCUUUGAUCCGUAGUAAUAAAAGGAGGGUAAUCCUGCACGGAACUCGGCGAUAUAAAAAGACGUAGCCUCUCUUAGAUAUACUUUCCGUGGGCGUACUCGGAGCAAAUAGUUUCGGAUGAGUUUUCCCCCGCGGAGAACUUUGCAAUCCCGACGAAGGAGCUGACGCGUGAUGCACACGUGACUUCUUAUACUUUCGUCUUCUCGGUGAGUCCGUUUUCUCUCUUUCUCUCUCUUCUUUUC